CCUACGGGGCGCACCAGUGGGGAAUAUUGCACAAUGGGCGCAAGCCUGAUGCAGCCAUGCCGCGUGUAUGAAGAAGGCCUUCGGGUUGUAAAGUACUUUCAGCGGGGAGGAAGGUGUUGAGGUUAAUAACCUCAGCAAUUGACGUUACCCGCAGAUUGAAGCACCGGCUAACUCCGUGCCAGCAGCCGCGGUAAUACGGAGGGUGCAAGCGUUAAUCGGAAUUACUGGGCGUAAAGCGCACGCAGGCGGUCUGUCAAGUCGGAUGUGAAAUCCCCGGGCUCAACCUGGGAACUGCAUUCGAAACUGGCAGGCUAGAGUCUUGUAGAGGGGGGUAGAAUUCCAGGUGUAGCGGUGAACUGCGUAGAGAUCUGGAGGAAUACCGGUGGCGAAGGCGGCCCCCUGGGCAAAGACUGACGCUCAGGUGCGAAAGCGUGGGGAGCAAACAGGAUUAGAUACCCGAGUAGUC
rnacentral:rRNA from 1 species